UCUUAUGGAUCAGCAAAGAGAGCGGUUUCUUGAAAUGGAAUCUACUCCUUGUGAAGGUGCUGUGAA
rnacentral:pre_miRNA from 1 species